rnacentral:lncRNA from 1 species
GUUUCUGUAUGCAAUCACCAAGCAGAAAAGAUAUCCGGAUGUUCUAUUAAGGGGUAAGCCAGCUACCAUACUGUGAAAACACUCAAGCAGCAUCACUGAAGGACCUGCAUGGAGAGAAAUUGAGGUCUCCACUCAACUAGCAAGUACCAUAUUCCCAGCCAUGCAUAUGAGUUACAUUGGAAGUGAAUCAGCAGCUCCCUUCCAGCCUUCAGAUGACUAUAGCAGCAGUUGACAUUAAACAACAAUCUCACAAGACACACCCAGCAAUAUCUGAAUUAUUCUCAAAAUGCACAUACUUGUGGUGUACCAGGACUGACAGAGGAGGGACACAGUGGAGGAAGAUUACUAAUUAUUCCUAAUUAUACCAGAUGGGAGCAGAGAGGAGGACAAGAAGAACCUGAAAGAUGAAGACAAACUUUUCCUUCACAAUGUCAAAAUGUUUUCUUGACACAAGAAAGAGAAGGCUAUUGUAUU